rnacentral:rRNA from 1 species
UACGUAGGGGGCAAGCGUUGUCCGGAAUCAUUGGGCGUAAAGAGCGUGUAGGCGGCUCGAUAAGUCCGCUGUGAAAGUCCGGGGCUCAACCCUGGAAGGCCGGUGGAAACUGUCGGGCUAGAGUCCGGAAGAGGCGAGUGGAAUUCCCGGUGUAGCGGUGAAAUGCGCAGAUAUCGGGAGGAACACCAAUGGCGAAGGCAGCUCGCUGGGACGGUACUGACGCUGAGACGCGAAAGCGUGGGGAGCAAACAGG